rnacentral:lncRNA from 1 species
CGGGACGUCGGGUGGUGACUCGGAAACACCAUCGGCUGAUCUGGUACCUUGUAGAAGUCGGAUGUCGGCUGCCACCUCCGACAGUGAGUCGGUGAUAUGGAUUUGGCCGUUCGGUCGGUUGGAAACAGUAUUGGCCUGUUUGGCCGGCAUACCUUUGGCCGGAUAUCGUCGGCAGUCAUUGUCGGAGUCGUCUGUCCGUCCAGUGGGUAG